CACGUGAAGGGGAGCAAUCCCCCGGUAGGGUGGCAAACGGGUGAGUAAUACAUGGGUGAUCUACCUUAGGGAUGAGGAUAUCCUUCCGAAAGGAGGGGCAAUACCGAAUAUUGUCCGGAGCCGUGAAGGGUUCCGGGGAAAGGGAGGCCUCUGAUACAAGCUUUNGCCUUAAGAUGAGCCCAUGGCCCAUCAGCUAGUUGGUAGGGUAAAGGCCUACCAAGGCUACGACGGGUCGCUGGUCUGAGAGGACGACCAGCCACACUGGCACUGAGAUACGGGCCAGACUCCUACGGGAGGCAGCAGUGAGGAAUAUUGCGCAAUGGGGGAAACCCUGACGCAGCAACGCCGCGUGUGGGAAGAAGGCCUUCGGGUCGUAAACCACUUUUGGCACGGGACGAAAAAGGGAUAUCGAACAAAUAUCCCCGAUGACGGUACCGUGAGAAUAAGCCACGGCUAACUCUAUGCCAGCCCGCCGCCGGUAAUUC
rnacentral:rRNA from 1 species